GACGAACGCUGGCGGCGUGCUUAACACAUGCAAGUCGAACGGAAAGGCCCUGCUUUUGUGGGGUGCUCGAGUAGCGAACGGGUGAGUAACACGUGAGUAACCUGCCCUUGACUUUGGGAUAACUUCAGGAAACUGGGGCUAAUACCGGAUAGGAGCUCCUGCUGCAUGGUGGGGGUUGGAAAGUUUCGGCGGUUGGGGAUGGACUCGCGGCUUGUCAGCUUGUUGGUGGGGUGGUGGCUUACCAAGGCUGUGACGGGUAGCCGGCCUGAGAGGGUGCACGGCCAAAUGGGGACUGGGAGACGGCCCAGAGUCCUACGGGAGGCAGCAGGGGGGAAUAUUGCACAAAGGGCGGAAGCGUGAUGCAGCACCGCCGCGUGCGAGAUGACGGCCUUAGGGUUGAAAACCGCUUUCGCCUGUGACGAAGCGUGAGUGACGGUAAUGGGAAAAGAAGCACCGGCUAACUACG
rnacentral:rRNA from 1 species